rnacentral:rRNA from 1 species
UACGGAGGGUGCAAGCGUUAUCCGGAUUCACUGGGUUUAAAGGGUGCGUAGGUGGGUCUGUAAGUCCGUGGUGAAAUCUCUAGGCUUAACCUGGAAACUGCCAUGGAUACUAUGGAUCUUGAAUACUGUGGAGGUCAGCGGAAUAUGUCAUGUAGCGGUGAAAUGCUUAGAUAUGACAUAGAACACCAAUUGCGAAGGCAGCUGGCUACACAAUUAUUGACACUGAGGCACGAAAGCGUGGGGAUCAAACAGG